rnacentral:rRNA from 1 species
CAGUCGCCGCGGUAAAACGUAGGGUGCAAGCGUUAAUCGGAAUUACUGGGCGUAAAGCGUGCGCAGGCGGUUUUGUAAGACAGAGGUGAAAUCCCCGGGCUCAACCUGGGAACUGCCUUUGUGACUGCAAGGCUAGAGUACGGCAGAGGGGGAUGGAAUUCCGCGUGUAGCAGUGAAAUGCGUAGAUAUGCGGAGGAACACCGAUGGCGAAGGCAAUCCCCUGGGCCUGUACUGACGCUCAUGCACGAAAGCGUGGGGAGCAAACAGGAUUAGAUACCCCGGUAGUCCCUGUCUCUUAUAC